rnacentral:lncRNA from 1 species
UAUCUUCAAAUUGUUAAUAGUUUUAGUCAUUGUUGUCAUAGUACUAGUCAUCGCAGUUAUCGUGUAAUAAUCAACAUAGUCGUCGCAUCGCAUGCAUGCAUGUAAAGGUAUUGGUUUGCGUUAGAAUUUUCUUCAAAUUAAUCUUCUCUUCAAUAUUUUAUAUCUCAUGUACUAGAACUAUUCUAUUUCUUAUUUUCUCUCUUGCCCUAGUUUGAUGUCGCUUCAUUGCUAUUUUUUAAAAUACAUGCAUGCCCA